rnacentral:rRNA from 1 species
UUUAAAGCGAAUAAGGGCGCAUGGUGGAUGCCUAGGCUCUAGGAGGCGAUGAAGGACGUGGUAAGCUGCGAUAAGCUACGGGGAGAUGCAAACGAUCGUUACAUC